UAAUACUUGUUCACUUCGUUGCAAAGUCCCUCGUAGUAAAAUCCGAUGACCAUCGUGUCGUUGUACAGCUCGUUGAAGAACCGCGCAGCGUCUUCCGGGCUCAGCCAGUUCACCAGUAUUCCCAUAUCGCAAAGAAGGUCGAUGUCCUUGCUCGAAUCGAUGAGAUUAUCCAUCAGGACGGCGUAAGAUGUUACCUUGUGGGGGCGGCUGUGACAGCAUUGCUUGAAGGCGAUGAGGUUCCUGAAGAGCGGCCCUGUCGUCUCGUCGAUUCCUAGUGGUGGAAUGGUGAACACCCCGUUUUCGAAAUUUAUGUUCAUUAUGCAAUCCGAGGUUUUGAAACUUUUUUGGAAUUUAAUGCCGGCUUCGGACAGAGUUGUCGCGUUUGGAACCCUCUGCGGCGGCGGUCUCUCCUCGCUCUGCUGUUGGUCAUCAUUCCCUACUUUUCGUUUGCAGCCUAAACCUUCUUCUUUACACGGGAAAACGAUCCAGGUUCUUAUGAGAUCGAGUAUGUGCAGGGGUUCGUGAGGGAGAUUCAGACACGGUUUGAAAAUAAAAUCGUCUGCCACGGAUUGUUUGAAGAAGUUGAGGACAAGGUCGGGGAGGGAGGCGGCAUUUCCUUCGGAAGUAGUAUUCUUCACGGCGGUUAAAUUGUAUAACCGCUCGAGAACAAACCAUGGCAGCUGAUUUUCUAGCAGGAGAAGAUCAUGGAAAAGAUAUUGCGGCAUGCAGGAGACAUUGAAAACAGGGUCGUUCUCGUCUCGUUGAUCGACGGAAAAUCCUUUUCGAAAGAGUUCGAUUAGGAAGCAUCCGUCGAUUAUCAUCAUCUCAAUGAAGUCUUUCUUGUUGAAAUGAUCCAAUGGCUCUGCGUAACAAUCACGAGCGCGCUUCUUGAAAUCCACGACACCUGUGAUCAAGUUUGCCAAAGUUAUGUUUGCGUCUGCGAGAAGGCACUGUAAGUACCAGCGCUUCACCUUUUCCAUGAGUUGGAAUUUAUCGCCACCGCGGCCUCGGUGAAGGGGUCCGAUUGAGACGAUAUCAGGUUCGUAUGCCUGUAUUUUUUUUUCGCCGAAUCGGAUGGGGAACUCUGAAUAUGCAGCACGAUGCUGGCAAUGGCGAAUGGUUGAGAAGCUUUGCUCCGAUGGUGUUAGUCAAUUCUUCAACGAUACCGUCAGUGUCUAUAUGUAUGGAUUCCGCGGAAUUAUUAUCAUCAACUUUGCGACUUUCUCUCUUAUGUUUAGUGGCGAAUCUACCAAAGGACGAGGAGUGGCAGCAUGAGACGGGAAUCAAGGCGGGGAGCUGUAAAUCCCCUUCUCUCUCGUCGGAAUACAGGGCAACUGUAAUACUUGGUUGUGGCUCGUGCAUCGUCUUGGUCGAAUUUGCAGAGGAAGGGCGAUAGUUUGGUUGGAUUUGCAGAGGAAUGACGAAGACGGAGGAGAGAGGUUUGAGGAAUGAGUAUUUUUUAUUGAACAAGACUUGGCUGCUGAAGAAUGAGCAGCACGCCUGCUGAGAGCAGGGUUGGACAUCUGUUCAAGUUAUGAUCUUUUUAGUCACAACUUGAACAUGUGUUGCGCUAUGACAGGCUUUCAGCAGGGGUUGCUGAUUCUUUCAGCAGCCAAGUUAAAUCCUUUUUUAUUAGUUAGCCCAGCUGGCUUCUUGUGUUUUUGGAAAGAAUAUUAUGGAAAGAACUUGGCUCAGCAGCCGACCUUGCUUACAAUCAAUCCGGAAUGAACAUGUAUCCAAGUUUCUUAUUAAAAAAUCAAAAUUUAGACACGUGUUUAUCCUGAAUUGGUUGUAAUCAUGACCGGCUGCUGAAUUUACAGCAGCCAAGUUGUGUUGGAAUAUUAUUUUCUAUACUAAAACCUAGUGGAAAAUCACUGUUCACUAACAGUGCUACCUGGUUUUGCCCCUGAUCUAACACACGGUUUUCAGCCUUUUAAUUCCUAUUGGUGAUGCUGACAGCAUGUUCUGGUUUACAUAUGUCACGUGUUGAUCAUCCUCUUCCAUUUAAGAGACAGACAGAGGAAAAGGUGGAUGCAUUGCAGUUGCCUGGUGGCAGUAACCAAAGCCCAACCCGGUUGGCCUCCACCGUUCAUCAUGUGAGAGGGGCGACUGUUCACCAGCAGUGAAUUCUCAAAGCUGGCCUUCCAUUCCUUCCUUGACGGGUCUUUUUUCCCUCCCUGCUGCAGAAAAAUGAUCUCCUUGUCCUCAUUAUUAUCCUUCUUUUUUUCGAGAUUCUUCCGCUCUUUAGCCACAUGUUGAUCAUCCUGUGUAUCUUUUUUUUCAUUCGGACUCCCUCUUCGAUUACAGCGUUUUUUCCUUGACUAAUUCACACCUGGCAGCAAUGGUACAUGCCUUUCCACCGAAAAAUAAUUAAAAAACCUUACCUGUUCCACACCUUAACACCAAAAAAUAAUUAAAAAAACCAAAAAAAGAUAGAAAAGGAGAAAAAGGAAGAGAGAGAAACAAAAGCUGAGCAUGGAUUGUGAGAGAGGGCGUCCAUCACCAGAAAAAAAAUUAAUUAAAAAACACAACAUCAUGGCAUCUGGAACAGUUCCCCACCACUGUUCAUCACCUCCUCUUCAAUCAUCCUGUUCAAGCGUUGAUCAUUGUUGAAGGGCUCUGCUUCGACUCCUUCUCGAUUUUGGAGUAGGACUUUUUUUUCUCAACUGCAAUGUCGCAUAAUUUCUAAUUUAGUUGAUUUCUUUUAUAAUUAAUCUUUAAAUGAUGAAUCCAAAAAUAAAUAUUCCGAUCAUCGAGUAACACUGAAGGAAGAUAAAGAGAGCCACAAUGAGAAAGACCGAUCAAGGUCUUAUAUCUAUAUUAGUUUAGGUAGAAGAUAAAUAACAAUGUAAUAACAUCUUAUUUCGUGAUAGGACAAGCCACGUGAUCAAGCCGUCACACCCAAAUUCUGUCUACAUGGUUGUCCCAAAAAACUUCAAAUGACAAAACUUGUAGCUCUCACAAGUUCUAACACACACAAAAACCCAUCACAUGUCCAAACCUUAAGCGUUGGAAGCGAAAGAAAAUCAAGACAAAUAACAAAUUGAUACAACUAUUUAGGAGGAUGAUAAUACUGAUGAAUUGCAUAUACAGUCUGCAACAUUGUGAGCACCAGCAGAAUAAACGCAGCGACCAAAGAAAUAAUCGCCCACGGCGUACCGAAAUGCUCGCGCCUCAGCUUUUCCAUCCACUUGUUCCAGUCAGUCUUGUAAUACUUGUUCACUUCGUUGCAAAGUCCCUCGUAGUAAAAUCCGAUGACCGCCGUGUCGUUGUACAGCUCGUUGAACAACCGCGCAGCGUCUUCCGGGCUCAGCCAGUUCACCAGUAUUCCCAUCUCGCAAAGAAGGUCGAUGUCCUUGCUCGAAUCGAUGAGAUUAUCCAUCAGGACGGCGUAAGAUGUUAUCUUGUGGAGGCGGCUGUGACAGCAUUGCUCGAAGGCGAUGAGGUUCCUGAAGAGAGGCCCCGUCCGCUCGUCGAUUUCUAGUGGUGGAAUCG
rnacentral:lncRNA from 1 species